GUGAGGAAAAUGCAGUGGUGGGGGCAGGAGUGAGAGCAGGGAGGCCGUGAGGAGGCUGUUGCAGUGGUUCAGGAAAGAGAAGAUGAGGACCUGGCCUGGGCAGGGGGAGGGAACUGGAGGUUGGGAGAGAAUUGAGAGGUACUGAGGGGGUAGAAUCAACAGGACAUGCCUAUCAAGUGGAUGUGGGUGGGGAGGACAGGGAGGAGUCAACGAUGACUUCCAGUGGUCUGACUGUGGCUUCCACUGGGUCGCUGGGGAUGCUCUUCGCUGAGUCAGAGAACAGGAGGAGGAACAGCUUUGCAUCAGGCCUGCGGGCAGAGAGGAAACAGCAAUAAAUUGAACGCAACUGAUGUCUCUUCAAAGAUUUGCUGUCUACCAAGACUUUCAAGCAUCGAAAAUAUCUUUAUCUUUUCCUCUCAGCAUUGAUGGGGAGGCCAUUUAGGAGAGAGUGAAAUAACCUGCAAAGAGAAAGAAAUGACACCUAUAAAAAUAAUAUAGGAAGCAAUAAAACAACACUGCAAACAGUUUGGCAGGUGGAGAGGAAAGAAUCACCUUCAUAAAUCCAUCAUUCUAGAGUGAGCCUUGUGUUUGUGUGGCUGUGCUUAUGCACGGGAAUGGACACAGCUGCAAUCACCCUCCACAUACCCACACUCUGUAACCUACUUUCUCCACCUAACAUGAUGUCAUGAGCAUUUUUCUAUGUUGCUACAUAGUCUUUAUAAUUACUUAAAGUGACUGUAAAAUAUUCCAUUCACUGCUAUUGUUGAUAUUUAGAUUGCUUGUAUGAUUUUUCCUUUGUUCAUUUUUAUGAAUUGACGAAUAGUAGGUAUUUCACUCAGUGCCUUGAAAAACAUAUAUAUCUAGUAGGUGCUUUAUUUCAUUCCCAUAUCUCUCCUUCAUAUAUAUCUUUGUAUCUGGGCUUUUCCUUAGGAUAAAUUUCUUAGGAUAAAUAUUGAGUUCAAGAGUUUAAACAAUUGUAUGACUUUUUACGUGGUAUUUCACACAUGUUGCUUUAUUAUGAUGAUAAUAACAAUGAUGAUAAUAUGAAUAACUCCACAAUUACACAUAGUAUUUCACAAAAUCCUCCCAACAUCUCUGAGGGUAGUCAUUACCCCAUUUUAGAUGAGAAGCAGAUGUCCACAAGUUUAAGUAAUUUGUCCAGCGGCUAUGUCUGUUCUGUUUUCGUCUUUCUCCCCAGGGUUAAGUACAAUGUCUGGCUCAUAGAAUGACUGCAGUAAAUGUUUCCUGAAUGAAGUCCACAAGUCGGGGUGUCAUGAUUCAAACCCAGAUCUGU
rnacentral:lncRNA from 1 species